GGACUUCUUUUUCAAAUACCCUGUACAAGCACUACUCAGAGGUGGUUUUGCCUGUUCCUUUUUUUCUAAAAUGCAGCCAGGUAUUCAUUGGCUAAACUCCCAUCCAAGCACUCUCCAAGGCUGGCCCUGCCUAGCUUCCAAGAUCAGACAGGAUCAGAUCUGGCACCUUUAGCGUGUAAAUGGGACUAAAUCCUGAGCAAGCGAUUAUGUCUGGUCUCCCCAUCCCUGGCAGCAACAUGCUAAAACACACGUAGGAGGUUAUCCAAGCAAGGCAGCCUCUUUGGUGAUGCAGAGACGAAGAGGCGGAGACAGUUCCAUCUUGGGUGCAGAACCGCACGUAGCGUGGGCUCCGGCUGAUCUGACUGGCCAAAACGUCCCACUUAUUUGCAUGUCCCUCCUGCAUCCAACAGAAGCAUCCUCAGUCCCAAACUGAGAGAGAGGCACAACUGGACACAACGUUCUGACAGAAAGCAGCAUGACAGAUGGCAUGGCUAGGAGGAGAGACUUCUACAUUUGCCGAAAGAACUAGUUCUCUUUCUCCAUCACUGGUUCAUGGCAAACAAUAGUGGUUUAAAUCAAAUGUAAAGUUGAUGAAAAUGCUAGAAGUGUUGCUGCGUCAGGGAGGAUUGUAACCAUUCCAGAACUGUAGAAUGGAAAUGAUCAUAUUUGAAGACAGUUAUAUAUUACAAACAUACAUCUGUUUUGCUAAACUGCUCACUUUGAUGGAAAAUUUCAUGGAGGAUGGUGCCCUAAAUCUAAUGUUGUUGUGUAUUAACAACUUGACCCCAUCUCAAAAACAGUACCCUAAAAAGAUACAUCCCUGUUAAUUAAAGUGGGUGGGGUUUGAGAGAAAAUCUUUGAAAACUUACAAUUCCCACUGCUUGGAAAAGUAAGCCAUCCUGCUCCAUCUUCCGCUUCCUCUGAAUAUUAUGUAGAGCUAUUAUCUUUGGGUUGAUGUCUUCAUUUGCUGCAGUUGAUCUACUGAAGAAAAAAUACCAAACUAUUAAUCGCACUCCCCUCUUGAUUACCUUUUCAUGUUAAAGUCAAAAGCAUGUGUAUCAUGAUUCAGAUAUAAAUAAAUUCCAAACUGUUGCUUGUACAAAUACUGGUUUACAUUCAGAGACCCCUGUUAUGUAUGGAGCAGCAUUAAGAGUGUCCUUCCUUAUAGCUGAACUCUAAGUAAUAAACUACACUUCAACAAAAUCAGAACAGA